rnacentral:rRNA from 1 species
GAUGAACGCUGGCGGCGUGCCUAAUACAUGCAAGUCGAGCGAACAGAUGAGGAGCUUGCUCCUCUGACGUUAGCGGCGGACGGGUGAGUAACACGUGGAUAACCUACCUAUAAGACUGGGAUAACUUCGGGAAACCGGAGCUAAUACCGGAUAAUAUAUUCAACCGCAUGGUUCAAUAGUGCAAGACGGCUUUGCUGUCACUUAUAGAUGGAUCCGCGUCGCAUUAGCUAGUUGGUAAGGUAACGGCUUACCAAGGCGACGAUGCGUAGCCGACCUGAGAGGGUGAUCAGCCACACUGGAACUGAGACACGGUCCAGACUCCUACGGGAGGCAGCAGUAGGGAAUCUUCCGCAAUGGGCGAAAGCCUGACGGAGCAACGCCGCGUGAGUGAUGAAGGUCUUCGGAUCGUAAAACUCUGUUAUUAGGGAAGAACAAAUGUGUAAGUAACUAUGCACGUCUUGACGGUACCUAAUCAGAAAGCCACGGCUAACUACGUG